UACGAAGGGGGCUAGCGUUGCUCGGAAUCACUGGGCGUAAAAGCGCACGUAGGCGGACUCUUAAGUCGGUGGUGAAAUCCUGGAGCUCAACUCCAGAACUGCCUUCGAUACUGGGAGUCUCGAGUUCGGGAGAGGUGAGUGGAACUGCGAGUGUAGAGGUGAAAUUCGUAGAUAUCGCAAGAACACCAGUGGCGAAGGCGG
rnacentral:rRNA from 1 species